rnacentral:rRNA from 1 species
AGCAGCCGCGGUAAUUCCAGCUCCAAUAGCGUAUAUUAAAGUUGUUGCAGUUAAAAAGCUCGUAGUUGAAUUUCGGGAUCGACGGGUCGGUCGCGCCUCUGGUGUGUACUGGCCCUGUCGGUUUCUCCCUUCUGACGAACCACGAUGUCAUUAAUUUGGUGUCGUGGGAAAUCAGGACUGUUACUUUGAAAAAAUUAGAGUGUUUAAAGCAGGCAUUCGCUUGAAUACAUUAGCAUGGAAUAAUGAAAUAGGACGUUUGAUCUUAUUUUGUUGGUUUCUAAGAUCGACGUAAUGAUUAAUAGGGAUAGUUGGGGGCAUUAGUAUUCAAUUGUCAGAGUGAAAUUCUUGGAUUUAUUGAAGACUAACUACUGCGAAAGCAUUUGCCAAGGAUGUUUUCAUUAAUCAAGAACGAAAGUUAGGGGAUCGAAGACGAUCAGAUACCGUCGUAGUCUUAACCAUAAACUAUGCCGACUAGGGAUCGGAUGAUGUUAAUUUUUAAUGUACUCAUUCGGCGCC